GUGUGUGGCACUCCAGUUGGCAUUGAUUUGAUGACAUGGAAUUAUAUUAUUUCUUAUUUUAAAAACCAUAAAAAAAACUCAUUCACCAAAAUGUAGACAUUCUCUUAAACGAGUUUUCUCUUCUUGCCCUCAAACCCUAGCACUCUAUCGCCCUUUUCUCUGUCCUAUCUCCGACCACCAUAUCUUUCAAUGAAAACCCAAAGCAAUAUUCAAACUCCUUAUUUAUCCCAUGGCCUUCCUAAUGAAUCGAUUGAAUUUCUAUUUCGGAGAACAUCACCGUAGGCCACCCUAUCGUCAUGUCCGGCCUUGCAAUUUCAAACGAAGAAAAUGGACCAUCUUGGAGUCUCUUUGUGCGUAAGAUCUUCGAGAAACCAAACCGGGACAGAUUCGAGUUCCAUUUCUUCGUAUUCUUCCAACUCUGCCAGUGACCACCACACCGGAUUUGUUUAGGUAGCUGCGAGUUUCAUCCCUUCCUAGAGUGAGUGUCAUAUGUUCUUAAAAUUCUGAUUUUGUGCUCUAUUGUUGAAAAGAAUCAUGUUGUGUUAAAACCCUAAUUCCUCUUUUUCUCAAAUUAUGAUUGAAGAAGUAAUUAGUAUGUUAUAACCACUUAUGAUUGAGCAUAAUUAUUUGUUUUAGUUUUCUGACACUUUUUUGUGUUGGUUGUAGAAACGGUGUUUAUAUAUUUUUCUGAAGUCAUGUUUGAAAUCCAAUACAGUGUGAAAAGGAUUGUUUUCACAUCUUCUAUAAGUACUAUUACUGCUAAAGACAUCAAUGGAAAGUUGAAAUCCUUGAGUUUUGUUUUGUGGUGACAGGUUUAUGCACUUUCAAAGCUUCUCACAGAAUAAGUGGCAUUUAAAUUCGCAAAAGAGAACGGUAUCGAUCUUGUUUCAGUUAUAACAACCACUGUUGCAGGCCCUUUCUUCAUUGCUAAUGUACCGGCAAGUGCUAAAGUUCUACAGUCACCACUAACAAGUAACAGAUUUGAUUUCUACUUGCAUUUUUGUUCAAUCUGUUUAUAACAACGAAAGGAAGAAGAAGAAGAAAGGAAGAGAAAAAAGUGUUGGUUCUGUUCUUUUGAAGGAAUGAAUAUAGAGUGAAUGUGUCACUAAGGGAAAAGGAAUUAAUAUACAUGGUAGAAGCUACUGAAUUGAAGUCAUUGUGGUUCAUUGUGAUUGUUCUAUUUUGGCAGGUAUUUUGGGAUAAAGAUGACAAGAGAAAGGGAAAAUACAAUGAUUAGUGGACACCAUAUAAUGUGUAUUGAAUAUUAGAAGGAUUUAUAGUGUAAUGAUAUAUGUAGUGAAUUCUUGUUUCUUAUUCAUGGUAUUAGUGUUUUAUAGUGUGAUAUGAUUAUAAAGUUUUUGUAGCUUAUAUUAAUGGCUCAAUUGUGGUGUUUA